ACUAGUUCAAUAAAUUUUUCCGAAAUACAUUACAGCAAUAGCCACUUUUAAAGAACGUAAUUGAAAUUUAUCUAGGAGUAGAAUUAGGUCUCAAGCAAUAAUAUUUUUAACAAAAAAUAAACGAACACGAAGGUCUCGUGAGCCAGUAAGAGCUAGAGCUAGCUGACUGUUAAGAAACCAUGGCCAGCGAAUCACUCCCUAGGGCAAGGCUUCACCCGGAAACGGUCGGGAAUCCUGAGAUGAAGAAUAAAGUGCUAGUGUCAAUAAAAAGGAUACAGUUUUGUUAUAAUUUAAAAUGUUGUCCCUGUAAUUUUGGAUAAUGUUCAAUAACAAAAUAUAGUGUAGGAAAUAAAAUUUAAUCCUUCGUUAGAA